GUAGAAUCGGUGAUCCUGCCGGAGGACGUUGCUUGUGGAAUUCCAGUCAGCCAUGCUGGACGAGCGAGCUCAGACGCGCCGCGAAAAACUACAGCAACGCGAGGCCGAGCUCCCGCUUCAGACAGGGAUACCGUCGAGAAACUGAGGGUAACAGCGGAAACAAAACGCCAGCUGGAAUGCGGCGUUUCACAAAGACAUCGCUGAAGGACGCGGCUGCGGCCGAUUAGGUAGACGGUGGGGUAACGGCCCACCGUGCCAGUAAUCGGUACGGGUGAUGAGAGUCAGAGCCCGGAGACGGAAUCUGAGACAAGAUUCCGGGCCCUACGGGGCGCAGCAGGCGCGAAACCUUUACACUGCACGGAAGUGCGAUAGGGGAAUCCCAAGUGCGAGGGCAUAUUAGCCCUCGCUUUUCUCGACUGUAAGGUGGUCGACGAAUAAGAGCUGGGCAAGACCGGUGCCAGCCGCCGCGGUAAUACCGGCAGCUCAAGUGAUGUCCCAUAUUAUUGGGCCUAAAGCGUCCGUAGCUAAGGGC
rnacentral:rRNA from 1 species